AACUUAGGACUUUCCUGCAAUCUCAAUCAAACAUAUCAGAUAACAAAACAACUUAACUUUGAAUCCUUUGACAUAAUCAAAACACAGGUUCGAUCGUCGGAUGCUUCCCGCACCAACACUGAUGACCCUAUGUUAUUCACUUGAAAGAAAAAGAAAAAUUAGAGCACAUGCUUAUUAGACAUGCAUAUGUAGUUGAAUUUUACCUUAUAGACGUCUAUAUUGAACUAGUUUUAUUUGGUCUUCCCAGUUAAGGAACAUUGUAUGGUUAGACUGGAUGACUAGAUGAUUUCUCUAGCUUACAUUUAGGUCAAUAAGUAUACAAAGAAUCAACAAAAAAAAGGAAAAAAUCUUCGAGUAAAAGGAAGUGUAAUGGAUGAAAUAUAAUAUUUAUAUCAUAGAGCUAAAGCUUUUUAGUUAGAUAGUAAUGUUUUUCCAAAUUGACAUGUACUUGGACAAUACUAUUGUGGUAAGUGAAAAUUAAAUUUUUAUACUUUUUUUAUUACUCUCUUAGGGUUAAAUUAUAUUCUAUGCAUGCAAUUCAUGUUAAAUGCCUUCUUAAUACUGAUUGCACAUGGAUCUCACAUAUGCAUUGGCAUGGUGAUGUCCUUUGGGUAAAUGUACUAAUAAACUGAAAUUCUGUAAAUAUUUGGGCUAAACAAUGAGAAAAUCAUACUCGUGCCAAGUAUUUUGAGAACUCAAGCUUGUGCCAUUUCAUAUCUAUGCUCGAUGAGUUUAGAUAUUUAACAUGCAAAUCACACUUAUGAUUUGAAGCAAGUGAAAUAUAAUCAAACUCUGCAUUUUUCAAUGCUAGCUCUCAGUAGUAUUUCUUGUUUUAUAGUUCAUUUUUUAUGCUAUUAAGACCAACUAUUUCUUUUACCUUGUUAAAUGUUCAUGACAAAUUAGAUAACUUUCUGAAGAUCAAAUUUUGGCAUUGCUGAUUUUUCUUAGAUCAUGACUAUAUAGCUCCCAUUAUCUAGAAUUGGAAUAGUAUGCCAACCAAUGUUGUCAAAAUCGCGAGUCGGAACGUAGAAUCGCACGAUUCUACGCAUUUUUGGUGGCCUUCCGCGUUGCGUGCCCAGGCGGAAGCGGAAUCUGGUGGAAUCGUGCAGAAUCGCGUGGAAGCGUAGCGGAAAUCGUAGACUCGUAAGAGUCCAGCGAUUCUACGCGAAAUGUCCGCUGGUUUUCCAAGACCAGAAGACCAGAAGGUCGAUCGCAGCGAUCGAUCAAACACGGGUCCAAGAAACCCCGCUCCAAAUAACACGUGCGUUUCUCCUUCAGAAAAAUAGGGAGAUCGGUCUGUGGACCGAUCCACCUAUGGCCUGAUCGGUCCACAGACCGAUCGGCCCUUGCAGAUCGGUCUUGCAGAUCGGUCUGUGGACCUAUCAGCCCCUAGGCUGAUCGGUCCCCAGACCGAUCAGCAAGGGCCGAUCCCUGAUUUCCGCCUCGUCACGUGUUUCUCACGAGUCGGUUGUCGUUUUCUGCGUGGGACAGAGGGACAGGGAGAGUUUCGGGACAGAAGAUUUGAUCUCAAAAAACCCUAACUUUCCUAAGUCGCGUCGCGAGCCAUUGUCGCCGCAACUGCUGUGCUUCGUUCUUCUUCAGCAACCAUCAUCUCCUUCACGUACGCGUCUGUCUCCUCCUCCCUGUGCGUCCGGUGUGCGUCGACCGGCACUGUGACUGACUUCAAUUAAAGGUACGCCAUCAUCCGCCUCUGUCCCUUCUCCAUCUAUCUCAUCUGUGGGUCUCUGUUCUUUACUUCUUUGGCCGUCUCUGUCCCGUCUGCAUCUCUGAAGGCUGUUGGCCACGUCUGUGGUUCGCGAGCUGCUGUUGCAGAGUUGCAGUGUCAUUGGUGAAGCUGAAGCUGCGUGGUGGUGUUCUUGUUCUUCUUUAAUUUCACAAAAAUGAGUAGAGAAGCUAGUGUUGGUGGGUCUGGUGAAGCAAGCUCCAAUAGUGGUGCAGCCAUUCCAAGCGUAGCUUCCACAACUAGUGGAACUUCAGAUUCCAAAAGAUUGGCAGUGAAUGCUCCUGGAAAUAGAUCUGAUCCAGGUUGGAAACAUGGAAUUGCAGUUGAUGAAAAUCCAAAGAAAGUGCAAUGCAAAUACUGUCAAAAGGUGAUAAAUGGAGGGAUUUAUAGACUCAAGCAUCAUUUGGCAGGAACACAAAAGGAUGUUGGAGCAUGCAAGGCUGUUAGUGAUGAUGUAAGGAAGGAAAUGUGGAAAAUUGUAUCCUCAUUGCAAGAAAAUUUAAUAAAGAGGGCAAAGGAGAUUGAAGGAAGAUCAAGUGAUUCAAGUCCUCUUGGCCAAUAUGAAGAUGAGGAGGUGGAGGGUGCAAAAAGACAAAGGCGAGAAAUUGCAAAGAAUCCUGCUGAUCUAUUCAAGAAAAGGGGUGUGAGUAGUCAAACUACCAUCAAUGGCAUUUUCAAGAAGAAUUUGAGGGAGGAAGCUUGCCAAGGGAUUGCCUCUUUUUUCUACAAUAAUGCUAUACCUUUUCAUGUGGCAAAAAGUGAUGAAUUCAAGAAGAUGCUAGACUUGGUUGCAAGACAUGGUAUUGGCUUUAAGCCUCCAUCCUACCAUGAGAUUAGAGUCAAGUAUUUGAAACAACAAGUUGAUUGCACCAAAGAAGUUAUAGAGCAGCACAAAGCAUUUUGGAAGAAAAUGGGAUGCACAAUUAUGACUGAUGGGUGGACAGAUAAGAGGAGGAGGACUAUAUUAAACUUCUUGGUUAAUAGUCCUAUGGGAACCAUUUUUUUGAAGUCAAUUGAUGCAUCUGAUAUAUCUAAAACAGCUGACAAGAUUUUCAAGUUGAUGGAUGAAAUUGUUGAAGAAGUUGGUGAAGAGAAUGUAGUGCAAAUUGUCACAGACAAUGCAGCAAACUACAAAGCAGCCGGGGAGAUGUUGAUGGGGAAGAGAAAGAGGCUAUAUUGGACGCCUUGUGCAGCUCAUUGCAUCGAUUUAAUGUUGGAGGAUUUUGAAAAAAGAUACCAAUACAUAAAGAGACAAUUGCACGAGGUAAAAAGAUCACAACUUACAUCUAUUCAAGGACUGCGCUUAUUUCUCUAUUGCAUCAUUUUACCAAAGAAAAGGAUUUGAUUAGACCAGCCACUACCCGUUUUGCCACAUCUUACUUGACUUUGGGUUGCUUGAAUGACAAUAAGGGAGCAUUGAUUAGAAUGUUUACAUCCAAAGAAUGGAAAUCUAGUCAAUUUGCAAAGACUAAAGAUGGAAAGGUUAUUGAAAAUGUGGUAAUGGAUAAGGACUUCUGGAAAAGCAUUAUUACAUGCUUGAGGAGUGCUUAUCCUUUGAUCAAAGUCCUUCGUUUGGUAGACUCAGAUGAGAAGCCUGCCAUGGGUUUCAUUUAUGAGGAAAUGGACAGGGCCAAAGAAAAGAUACAAGCUGCCUUUAAUGGUAUUAAGAAAAGUUACUUGCCUCUAUGGGAAAUUAUAGAUGCAAGAUGGGAUAAUCAACUACAUCGGCCUUUGCAUGCUGCGGGCUAUUACCUUAACCCUCAAUUUCAUUACAGUCCUAAUUUUAAAGCUGACUUUGAAGUGAAAAGAGGAAUAUAUGAUUGUCUACAAAGGAUGGUUGAAAGUAUGGAAGAAGUAAAGAAGAUUGAUGCUCAACUGGAAGACUUCAAAUAUCGAAAGAAAUUCUUUGGUAGUGCAGUAGCCACUUGUGGAAUUGAAACCAAAACUCCAGCACAAUGGUGGGAAUCAUAUGGUUAUGAACAUCCUGAGUUGCAAAAGUUUGUUAUUCGUGUUUUGAGCUUGACAUGCAGCUCAUCUGGCUGUGAGAGAAAUUGGAGUGCAUUUGAGAUGGUCCACACUAAGAGAAGAAAUCGUUUGAAGGCAAAAACGAUGAAUGACGUAGUCUUUGUGAUGGCUAAUUCAAAAUUAGCCAAGAAGAAGGAAUUGAGGAAAGUCAAUGACUAUAGCAUUGAUGACCUAGCUUCUGAUGAUGAUUGGAUUGUGGAUGAUAGUGAAAAUUUAGAUUUGGAUGCUUCAAAUGAAGAUUUGGUUCCAGUUGAAGAAGGACCUAGUAGUGGAGCACCUCAUGAUGAUUUGGAGCUGCCUAGUUAUGAUGAUGAUGAAGUUGAAGAAGGUGGAGAUGCCAUGGAGGAUGCUGGAGAUGAAGAACACAUGGAGGAUGAUUAUGAAUUCAUGAAUUUAUGAAGUUUAGACUUUAGAACUUGACUAUUAUUUUUCAUGUUGUAGACUUAUAUGUUAUCUAAAAUUUGUGACUUAUGACUUA